rnacentral:rRNA from 1 species
UAUUGCACAAUGGGGGAAACCCUGAUGUAGCGACGCCGCGUGAGUGAAGAAGUAUCUCGGUAUGUAAAGCUCUAUCAGCAGGGAAGAAANUGGCGGUACCUGAUUAAGAAGCCCCGGCUAACUACGUUUCAGCAGCUGCGGUAAUACGUAGGGGGCAAGCGUUAUCCGGAUUUACUGGGUGUAAAGGGAGCGUAGACGGCAGCACAAGUCUGGAGUGAAAUGCCGGGGCUUAACCCCGGAACUGCUUUGGAAACUGUGCAGCUAGAGUGCAGGAGAGGUAAGUGGAAUUCCUAGUGUAGCGGUGAAAUGCGUAGAUAUUAGGAGGAACACCAGUGGCGAAGGCGGCUUACUGGACUGUAACGGACGUUGAGGCUCGAAAGCGUGGGGAGCAAACAGG